GAUAAUACUCCAUAAAGUAACGACUAAUCUGGACAUUGACUAUUUGUCGCUGACAAAGCUCCGUGCGCCCCAGUGACUGGACUCUUGCGGCCUGAUUAUGUAGUACGUUUGUGGGUAACGGCCCACCUACGCCUGUAAUCGGUACGGGUUGUGGGACGCAAAGAGCCCGGACGACUGGAAUCUGCGACACGAUUCCAGGCCACUACGGGGCGCACAGUGCGCGAAAACUUUUACAAUAGCAGAAACUGUAGAUAAGGGAACCCCGAGUGCCCGUACACGCUGGCUGUCUAGGGUGUAUACACUGCCACCAAAGACAGGGCCGAGCAAGCACGGUGCCAGACGACGAGGAAAUACCAGGAGGCUCGCGUGGUGACCAAUAAUAUAGGGCUAAAGCGUACGUCACUGAACUAGAUAAAUCCCUUGGAAAAUACGCUUGUUAACCAACAGGCGACUCAAGGAUACUGGAAGUCUUGGACCAAGA
rnacentral:rRNA from 1 species